CUGUCCUGGAUCCUGCUGAUGAGUGCAGCUGGCAUUUAAGUUCCUGGAUGUGAUCCAUUCCUUGCCAGAUUAUUCAGUGACACUGGUACUGAAUGAGACAGCCGACAAUCGACCCUAGAGAUAUUCUCAAGUAAUCUUGUGUUUUUGUGUUUUCUUAAGGACACUUUGUGAAGUCUGGUACUCACCUUUUGCUGGAGCUUAAGGACUCUUGGAUGUGGACUCACUCUCCUGGAAACUCUCAUCUGAAGGUCAACAAUCCUCCAUCCUGCCACUCUCUUGGACCUGGAACGCAAACUUACCCCGAAAACGGAAUCACUUACCUCCUGGAUAUCCUUUGCCUCCUCCUCCGAGCUUACCUCCCUCCCAAGAGCCUGACGAAUCAACUUCCAUCAUUUCUUUUGUAAAUAAACUUCACUUAAACUUUU